rnacentral:rRNA from 1 species
AUUGAACGCUAGCGGGAUGCUUUACACAUGCAAGUCGAACGAGUGGCGGACGGGUGAGCAAGAUAUCGGAACGUGACUAGUAGCGGGGGCUAACUACGCGAAAGAUUGGCUACAGGCGCAUAAUGUUGGUGCGGCCGUGAUCGGAUUAGCUAGUUGGUGGGGUAAAGGCUCACAAAGGGGACGAUCCGUAGCUGGUUUGAGAGGACGACCGGCCACACUGGGACUGAGACACGGCCCAGACUCCUACGGGAGGCAGCAGUGGGGAAUUUUGGACAAUGGGGGAAACUCUGAUCCAGCCAUCCCGCGUGUAUGAGAAGGCCUUCGGGUUGUAAAGUACUUUUGGCAGAGAAGCGGUAUCUGCAGAAUAAGCACCGGCUAACUACGUGCCAGCAGCCGCGGUAAUUC